rnacentral:rRNA from 1 species
AGUGAACGCUGGCGGUAGGCCUAACACAUGCAAGUCGAACGGCAGCACAGUAAGAGCUUGCUCUUACGGGUGGCGAGUGGCGGACGGGUGAGGAAUACAUCGGAAUCUACUUUUUCGUGGGGGAUAACGUAGGGAAACUUACGCUAAUACCGCAUACGACCUACGGGUGAAAGCAGGGGAUCUUCGGACCUUGCGCGAUUGAAUGAGCCGAUGUCGGAUUAGCUAGUUGGCGGGGUAAAGGCCCACCAAGGCGACGAUCCGAAGAUCGUCAGAGAGGAUGAUACGCCCAACAGGAAAUGCAGCAACGUCCCAACUACUACGGGAGGCCGCCGUGGGGGAUAUUGGAAAAUUGGCGCAAGCCUGAUCCAGCCAUAACGCGUUGGUGAAGGAGGACUUUCGGUUGUAAAACCCUUUUGUUGGGAAAGAAAAACCGCCGGUUAAUACCCCGCCGUUCUGAAGGUUCCCAAAGGAUAAGCCACGGCUAACUUCGUG